rnacentral:rRNA from 1 species
GAUGAACGCUGACAGAAUGCUUAACACAUGCAAGUCGAUUCGAUUUACCUUCGGGUAUUGAGGAUGGCGGACGGGUGAGUAACGCGUAAGGAACUUGCCUCUUGGUCUGGGACAACUGUUGGAAACGACAGCUAAUACCGGAUAUUAUGAGAUUCUCGCAUGGGAAACUUAUGAAAGCUAUAUGCGCCAAGAGAGAGCCUUGCGUUCCAUUAGCUAGUUGGUGGGGUAACGGCCCACCAAGGCGACGAUGGAUAGCCGGCCUGAGAGGGUGAACGGCCACAAGGGGACUGAGACACGGCCCUUACUCCUACGGGAGGCAGCAGUGGGGAAUAUUGGACAAUGGGCCACAAGCCUGAUCCAGCAAUUCUGUGUGCACGAUGAAGGUCUUCGGAUUGUAAAGUGCUUUCAGUUGGGAAGAAGAAAGUGACGGUACCAACAGAAGAAGCGACGGCUAAAUACGUGCCAGCAGCCGCGGUAAUACGUAUGUCGCAAGCGUUAUCCGGAUUUAUUGGGCGUAAAGCGCGUCUAGGCGGAAAAAUAAGUCUGAUGUUAAAAUGCGGGGCUCAACUCCGUAUUGCGUUGGAAACUGUUUUUCUAGAGUACUGGAGAGGUGGGCGGAACUACAAGUGUAGAGGUGAAAUUCGUAGAUAUUUGUAGGAAUGCCGAUGGAGAAGUCAGCUCACUGGACAGANACUGACGCUAAAGCGCGAAAGC